rnacentral:rRNA from 1 species
AGGCUUAACACAUGCAAGUCGAGGGGUAGCAGGGAGCUUGCUCCGCUGACGACCGGCGAACGGGUGCGUAACGCGUAUAGAAUCUACCUCUUACUAAGGGAUAGCCCAGAGAAAUUUGGAUUAAUAUCUUAUAGUAUACAGACCUGGCAUCAGGAUUGUAUUAAAGGUUACGGUAAGAGAUGACUAUGCGUCCUAUUAGCUAGAUGGUGUGGUAACGGCACACCAUGGCUACGAUAGGUAGGGGCCCUGAGAGGGGGAUCCCCCACACUGGUACUGAGACACGGACCAGACUCCUACGGGAGGCAGCAGUGAGGAAUAUUGGACAAUGGAGGCAACUCUGAUCCAGCCAUGCCGCGUGCAGGAAGACUGCCCUAUGGGUUGUAAACUGCUUUUAUACAGGAAGAAACACUCUCACGUGUGAGAGCUUGACGGUACUGUAAGAAUAAGGAUCGGCUAACUCCGUGCCAGCAGCCGCGGUAAUACGGAGGAUCCAAGCGUUAUCCGGAAUCAUUGGGUUUAAAGGGUCCGUAGGUGGAUGAUUAAGUCAGAGGUGAAAUCCUGCAGCUCAACUGUAGAAUUGCCUUUGAUACUGGUUGUCUUGAGUUAUUAUGAAGUAGUUAGAAUAUGUAGUGUAGCGGUGAAAUGCAUAGAUAUUACAUAGAAUACCAAUUGCGAAGGCAGAUUACUAAUAAUAUACUGACACUGAUGGACGAAAGCGUGGGGAGCGAACAGGAUUAGAUACCCUGGUAGUCCACGCCGUAAACGAUGGUCACUAGCUGUUCGGACUUCGGUUUGAGUGGCUAAGCGAAAGUGAUAAGUGACCCACCUGGGGAGUAC